rnacentral:tRNA from 1 species
CAAAGGAUAGUUUAAUUUAAAAUAAUAGUUUUGGGGAUUAUUGAUAAGGUUUCUUUCCUUUGA